rnacentral:rRNA from 1 species
UACAGAGGUCCCAAGCGUUGUUCGGAUUCAUUGGGCGUAAAGGGUGCGUAGGCGGCGCGGUAAGUCGGGUGUGAAAUCUCGGAGCUUAACUCCGAAACUGCAUUCGAUACUGCCGUGCUUGAGGACUGGAGAGGAGACUGGAAUUUACGGUGUAGCGGUGAAAUGCGUAGAUAUCGUAAGGAAGACCAGUGGCGAAGGCGGGUCUCUGGACAGUUCCUGACGCUGAGGCGCGAAAGCUAGGGGAGCGAACAGG